UCCGUGCCAGCAGCCGCGGUCAUACGGAGGAUCCAAGCGUUAUCCGGAAUUACUGGGCGUAAAGAGUUGCGUAGGUGUCUUGUCAGGUUUCUGUUUAAAUUUUAAGGCUCAACCUUAAAGAGGGCAGGAAAACCGGCAGGAUUGGGCGCGGGAGAGGUAGAUGGAAUUUCUAGUGUAGGAGUGAAAUCCGUAGAUAUUAGAAGGAACACCGAUGGCGUAGGCAGUCUACUGGCCCGCCGCCGACACUAAGGCACGAAAGCGUGGGGAGCGAACGGGAUUAGAUACCCCGGUAGUCCACGCCGUAAACUAUGCUUGCUAGCUGUUAGAAGUAUCGACCCUUCUAGUAGCGAAGCUAACGCGUUAAGCAAGCCGCCUGGGGAGUACGGUCGCAAGAUUAAAACUCAAAGGAAUUGACGGGGACUCGCACAAGCGGUGGAGCGUGUUGUUUAAUUCGAUGGUAAGCGAAGAACCUUACCAGGGUUUGACAUCCUCGGAAUUUCUCCGAAAGGAGAAAGUGCCUUCGGGAACCGAGUGACAGGUGAUGCAUGGCCGUCGUCAGCUCGUGUCGUGAGAUGUUUGGUUAAGUCCAUCAACGAGCGCAACCCUUAUAGUUAGUUGAAUUUCUCUAGCUAGACUGCCCCGGUAACGGGGAGGAAGGAGGGGAUGAUGUCAGGUCAGUAUUUCCCUUACGUCUGGGGCUACAAACACGCUACAAUGGCCGGUACAAAGGGCAGCCAACCCGCGAGGGGGAGCAAAUCCCAUCAAAGCCGGUCCCAGUUCGGAUUGCAGGCUGAAACUCGCCUGCAUGAAGCCGGAAUCGCUAGUAACGGUGAGUCAGCUAUAUUACCGUGAAUACGUUCCCGAGUCUUGUACACACCGCCCGUCAAACCAUGAAAGUCGCCAAUACCCGAAAUGUCCGCCUUGGCGGAUCCUAAGGUAGGGGAGAUGAUUGGGGUUAAGUCGUAACAAGGUAUCCGUACCGGAAGGUGCGGAUG
rnacentral:rRNA from 1 species